GCCCUUGUAGCUCAGGUGGUAGAGCAGUGGAUUUGUAAUCCGAAGGCCGCGCGUUCAAAUCGUGCCGGGGGCACCA
rnacentral:tRNA from 2 species